ensembl:lncRNA
CUACUUGACACACUGGUGACCCACUGGCUUAGCAACAGUUUCGAAGUGUUGUAAGGAGGAAUCAUUAUAAGUAUCUACUUAAGCUGAAGACAUUAAUUUACUGAAUGUUGCAAAAAGGCAACCCGACACAAGCCACCACCAUUUCAAAAAGUCCCACACAGAGACUAACAGAAGAGAACAUAUCACUCACCAUGUCCCACAUGGUUGCCAUUCCAUAAGGACCUGGAAAAAAACAGACCACUUGUUUCAGAACACAACAGGGGAAGAUUCCUCGCUUCCCCUUAUCAUCACACUCCUCACAGCUCAUAGUCUCCAUGUCCUGCCUGGGGGGCCUGGGGCACCUUCUCUUCCUGCCCGGAGGAGGUGAGGGGGCCUGGGGCACCUUCUCUUCCUGCCCGGAGGUGGAGGGGGCCUGGGGCACCUUCUCUUCCUGCCCGGAGGAGUUGGAGGGGGCCUGGGGCACCUUCUCUUCCUGCCCGGAGGAGUUGGAGGGGGCCUGGGGCGUCUCCUCUUCCUGCCCGGAGGAGGUGGAGGGGGCCUGGGGCGUCUCCUCUUCCUGCCCGGAGGAGGUGGAGGGGGCCGGGGGCGCCUCCUCUUCCUGCCCGGAGGAGGUGGAGGGGGCCUCUCUGUUGGCUCUUCCACAAUAAACUGAGACCAACAGAAUUUCGGCAAAUAUUACCCUCAGAGAAAAUUCUCCUUUUUGCAACAAGUAGAAGAGAAAUAACCAACUAAAAUGCUUUACUUUAACAGUUGAGUUUUUAGAAUUAAAAAAUAAUUAAGCUUUUACAACACUGCACUGCUCGUCAACAUGCACUAAUGAGACCCUUGUGGAAUUGUAGCCUCCAUCUUUUCUUUUUAAGUAAUACUAACCUCUCAAAAUAUUUUCAAAAACUUUUUUUAACUUGUCCUCCAAGUCCUCGGG